rnacentral:tRNA from 1 species
GGCCGCGUAGCUUAGUGGAAAAAGCGUCUCGCUUCUAACGAGAAGAUCGCGAGUUCAAAUCUCGCCGUGGUCG